CAGUAGCCGCGGGAAUACGUAGGUGGCAAGCGUUGUCCGGAAUUAUUGGGCGUAAAGGGCUCGCAGGCAGUUUCUUAAGUCUGAUGUGAAAGCCCCCGGCUCAACCGGGGAGGGUCAUUGGAAACUGGGAAACUUGAGUGCAGAAGAGGAGAGUGGAAUUCCACGUGUAGCGGUGAAAUGCGUAGAGAUGUGGAGGAACACCAGUGGCGAAGGCGACUCUCUGGUCUGUAACUGACGCUGAGGAGCGAAAGCGUGGGGAGCGAACAGGAUUAGAUACCCGAGUAGUCCCUGUCUCUUAUAC
rnacentral:rRNA from 1 species